rnacentral:rRNA from 1 species
AUUGAACGCUGGCGGCAUGCCUUACACAUGCAAGUCGAACGGCAGCGCGGGAGCAAUCCUGGCGGCGAGUGGCGAACGGGUGAGUAAUACAUCGGAACGUGCCCAAUCGUGGGGGAUAACGCAGCGAAAGCUGUGCUAAUACCGCAUACGAUCUACGGAUGAAAGCAGGGGAUCGCAAGACCUUGCGCGAAUGGAGCGGCCGAUGGCAGAUUAGGUAGUUGGUGAGGUAAAGGCUCACCAAGCCUUCGAUCUGUAGCUGGUCUGAGAGGACGACCAGCCACACUGGGACUGAGACACGGCCCAGACUCCUACGGGAGGCAGCAGUGGGGAAUUUUGGACAAUGGGCGAAAGCCUGAUCCAGCCAUGCCGCGUGCAGGAUGAAGGCCUUCGGUUGUUAAC